UGUGCCAAGCACGUUGUGAUUUACAAAGAGAGCUUGAUCUGCGUUCGUGUCUGUUGGUUUUGACACAUGUUAUGAGCGGAAGACAAUUUGAUCCAGGGACGUUUUUCUUCAAUUUGGUUGAUAACCGAGCAGUGCACACGAAUGGAAGGUUGAAAGUGUUGAUGACGAUGGAACAGAGCUGCGUUUCCUGAGGAAAAUGGGGCAGCACUAUGUCAUGUCUGAUGUAUUGGACACCUCGUUUUUUUUUCUCCAAUAAGAUCCUGGACAUUAUGCCUGUUCCAAGGAUUUCUUUUAAAGACACAAAUUGCCUACAUGAUUUCUGUUUAGUAUUGGAUCCCAAUGAUCAAAUUACAAGUUUUAUUCCAGUGAAUGCCAACUAUUUUUUCCUCAUAUUUCGUUUAUUGUUUUUUUUUUCCCAAUCAUUAAAGUAAGAUGUUAUAACUUAACACUAACUGAGAGGCAAUAUUAUCCUGCUGAGUAUAUUUACAGAGCUUCUACUUCCAAUCUUUUAUAUUCAUUAUAAAAGUGAACUCGAAAUAUUACAAAGAUUCAGUUUUUAAAAACAUAUUUUACGGUUUUCUGUGUCACAAGUCUAUAGCAUAUAUAUACUAGUACAUUGUAUUUUUUUUUAUUUAUUAUUACUCAAGACAAGCUAACACAUCCUAGGAAUGAUUAAGUCAUUCUGUCAAAUGGGGUCACAUCUGUAUGAUUUGCAGUGUUUUAUGAUGUAUUUUGGCAUAAUCAGUGUCUGUGUUAUGCGCAGAAGGUGAUUUGAAAUAGUCUUUCUACUUCAAUGUGUGCUAUUGAUUUUGGGUUAUCAUAAAUGAUGAAUAAAUCUAUUUCCAUGUA